UACGGAGGGGGCUAGCGUUGUUCGGAAUUACUGGGCGUAAAGCGCACGUAGGCGGAUUGUUAAGGCGGGGGUGAAAUCCCGGGGCUCAACCCCGGAAUGGCCUCCUAUACUGGCAAUCUUGAGGUCGGGAGAGGUGAGUGGAAUAGCGAGUGUAGAGGUGAAAUUCGUAGAUAUUCGCCGGAACACCAGUGGCGAAGGCGGCUCACUGGCCCGAUACUGACGCUGAGGUGCGACAGCGUGGGGAGCAAACAGG
rnacentral:rRNA from 1 species